rnacentral:rRNA from 1 species
GAUUAAGUUAUUAAGGGCGCACGGUGGAUGCCUUGGCACUAGAAGCCGAUGAAGGACGUUACUAACGACGAUAUGCUUUGGGGAGCUGUAAGUAAGCUUUGAUCCAGAGAUUUCCGAAUGGGGAAACCCAGCAUGAGUUAUGUCAUGUUAUCGAUAUGUGAAUACAUAGCAUAUCAGAAGGCACACCCGGAGAACUGAAACAUCUUAGUACCCGGAGGAAGAGAAAGAAAAUUCGAUUCCCUUAGUAGCGGCGAGCGAAACGGGAAGAGCCCAAACCAACAAGCUUGCUUGUUGGGGUUGUAGGACACUCUAUACGGAGUUACAAAGGACGACAUUAGACGAAUCAUCUGGAAAGAUGAAUCAAAGAAGGUAAUAAUCCUGUAGUCGAAAAUGUUGUCUCUCUUGAGUGGAUCCUGAGUACGACGGAGCACGUGAAAUUCCGUCGGAAUCUGGGAGGACCAUCUCCUAAGGCUAAAUACUCUCUAGUGACCGAUAGUGAACCAGUACCGUGAGGGAAAGGUGAAAAGCACCCCGGAAGGGGAGUGAAAUAGAACCUGAAACCGUGUGCUUACAAGUAGUCAGAGCCCGUUAAUGGGUGAUGGCGUGCCUUUUGUAGAAUGAACCGGCGAGUUACGAUUUGAUGCAAGGUUAAGCAGUAAAUGUGGAGCCGUAGCGAAAGCGAGUCUGAAUAGGGCGUUUAGUAUUUGGUCGUAGACCCGAAACCAGGUGAUCUACCCUUGGUCAGGUUGAAGUUCAGGUAACACUGAAUGGAGGACCGAACCGACUUACGUUGAAAAGUGAGCGGAUGAACUGAGGGUAGCGGAGAAAUUCCAAUCGAACCUGGAGAUAGCUGGUUCUCUCCGAAAUAGCUUUAGGGCUAGCCUCAAGUGAUGAUUAUUGGAGGUAGAGCACUGUUUGGACGAGGGGCCCUCUCGGGUUACCGAAUUCAGACAAACUCCGAAUGCCAAUUAAUUUAACUUGGGAGUCAGAACAUGGGUGAUAAGGUCCGUGUUCGAAAGGGAAACAGCCCAGACCACCAGCUAAGGUCCCAAAAUAUAUGUUAAGUGGAAAAGGAUGUGGCGUUGCCCAGACAACUGGGAUGUUGGCUUAGAAGCAGCCAUCAUUUAAAGAGUGCGUAAUAGCUCACUAGUCGAGUGACACUGCGCCGAAAAUGUACCGGGGCUAAACAUAUUACCGAAGCUGUGGAUUGUCCUUUGGACAAUGGUAGGAGAGCGUUCUAAGGGCGUUGAAGCAUGAUCGUAAGGACAUGUGGAGCGCUUAGAAGUGAGAAUGCCGGUGUGAGUAGCGAAAGACGGGUGAGAAUCCCGUCCACCGAUUGACUAAGGUUUCCAGAGGAAGGCUCGUCCGCUCUGGGUUAGUCGGGUCCUAAGCUGAGGCCGACAGGCGUAGGCGAUGGAUAACAGGUUGAUAUUCCUGUACCACCUAUAAUCGUUUUAAUCGAUGGGGGGACGCAGUAGGAUAGGCGAAGCGUGCGAUUGGAUUGCACGUCUAAGCAGUAAGGCUGAGUAUUAGGCAAAUCCGGUACUCGUUAAGGCUGAGCUGUGAUGGGGAGAAGACAUUGUGUCUUCGAGUCGUUGAUUUCACACUGCCGAGAAAAGCCUCUAGAUAGAAAAUAGGUGCCCGUACCGCAAACCGACACAGGUAGUCAAGAUGAGAAUUCUAAGGUGAGCGAGCGAACUCUCGUUAAGGAACUCGGCAAAAUGACCCCGUAACUUCGGGAGAAGGGGUGCUCUUUAGGGUUAACGCCCAGAAGAGCCGCAGUGAAUAGGCCCAAGCGACUGUUUAUCAAAAACACAGGUCUCUGCUAAACCGUAAGGUGAUGUAUAGGGGCUGACGCCUGCCCAGUGCUGGAAGGUUAAGAGGAGUGGUUAGCUUCUGCGAAGCUACGAAUCGAAGCCCCAGUAAACGGCGGCCGUAACUAUAACGGUCCUAAGGUAGCGAAAUUCCUUGUCGGGUAAGUUCCGACCCGCACGAAAGGCGUAACGAUUUGGGCACUGUCUCAACGAGAGACUCGGUGAAAUCAUAGUACCUGUGAAGAUGCAGGUUACCCGCGACAGGACGGAAAGACCCCGUGGAGCUUUACUGUAGCCUGAUAUUGAAAUUCGGCACAGCUUGUACAGGAUAGGUAGGAGCCUUUGAAACGUGAGCGCUAGCUUACGUGGAGGCGCUGGUGGGAUACUACCCUAGCUGUGUUGGCUUUCUAACCCGCACCACUUAUCGUGGUGGGAGACAGUGUCAGGCGGGCAGUUUGACUGGGGCGGUCGCCUCCUAAAAGGUAACGGAGGCGCUCAAAGGUUCCCUCAGAAUGGUUGGAAAUCAUUCAUAGAGUGUAAAGGCAUAAGGGAGCUUGACUGCGAGACCUACAAGUCGAGCAGGGUCGAAAGACGGACUUAGUGAUCCGGUGGUUCCGCAUGGAAGGGCCAUCGCUCAACGGAUAAAAGCUACCCCGGGGAUAACAGGCUUAUCUCCCCCAAGAGUUCACAUCGACGGGGAGGUUUGGCACCUCGAUGUCGGCUCAUCGCAUCCUGGGGCUGUAGUCGGUCCCAAGGGUUGGGCUGUUCGCCCAUUAAAGCGGUACGCGAGCUGGGUUCAGAACGUCGUGAGACAGUUCGGUCCCUAUCCGUCGUGGGCGUAGGAAAUUUGAGAGGAGCUGUCCUUAGUACGAGAGGACCGGGAUGGACAUACCUCUGGUGUACCAGUUGUCGUGCCAACGGCAUAGCUGGGUAGCUAUGUGUGGACGGGAUAAGUGCUGAAAGCAUCUAAGCAUGAAGCCCCCCUCAAGAUGAGAUUUCCCAACUUCGGUUAUAAGAUCCCUCAAAGAUGAUGAGGUUAAUAGGUUCGAGGUGGAAGCAUGGUGACAUGUGGAGCUGACGAAUACUAAUCGAUCGAAGACUUAAU